rnacentral:rRNA from 1 species
GACGUAGGGGGCAAGCGUUGUCCGGAAUCAUUGGGCGUAAAGCGCUCGUAGGUGGAUCGGUAAGUCUGCAAAGAAAGACCCGGGCUCAACUCGGGGAACGGUGUGGAUACUACCGAUCUUGAGGCAAUCAGAGGAUGAUGGAAUUCCCGGUGUAGCGGUGAAAUGCGUAGAUAUCGGAAGGAACACCUGUGGCGAAAGCGGCUCACUGGACCAUAACUGACGCUGAUGCACGAAAGCUAGGGGGGCAAACAGG